AGAUUGAAGUUUACAUGGACGUUGUGCGAGAUGAGCGUGGGGCUGAUUGACUGGGGAAACGGCUGUGUACGGCGGCUAGAGGAGACACUGCGUCUUAAGUUAAAUUUAUUACACUUUGGAAAUUAGUACACUGCACUUCGACGAGACCAGCAUGGCGUCGCACUAAAAUAACAUCGAUGUUAUGGAGCUAAUAGUGCCAUACCGGUGGAGUGAUCUACACUAGAAUCACACUGAUACCGUGUAUUCAGACAGUUAAUACACCGAGUAAACCAACGAAAGUCAAUCGAGCCCCUCGGUGAUCUCUCACAACGCACUUGCUCAAUUAUGUUGAAUUAAUUGUUCCGGUGAUGUGGAAAUAACACUAAGAAGCUAGUUAGGACUUAAUUGCUUUGUGAUUGAAGAAUAACGUACUGAUUUUCCACAGGGGGAAACGUGAAGGCCUUUAGGUAUUGUUUUGGCAAGCUAGGAGAACACAUCUGACAGACAAAAAGGUUUCAUCAAAGACACACAGACAGCUCCUGAAGUAAAGGACCUACACAGGACCUUCAUAUCAAGGACAUUGACUGUGUGGAUCUCGAGGUGCAGUUACCCAAAAGUUGCUACCCACGGAAUACCAGGUUUUGAGGGAUCCUGCCAGAGCAGAGAAUCAACAGAUACAUUGAAGAGGAGACUCCGACAUGACCGCCGGCAUCUUGUGUUAUUCACCCCCACCACUUGUAAUACUGAAUGCCUGAAUUGUUGUUUGC